AACGAACGCUGGCGGCAGGCCUAACACAUGCAAGUCGAACGCCCUAGCAAUAGGGAGUGGCAGACGGGUGAGUAACACGUGGGAACCUUCCCUAUAGUACGGAAUAGCCCAGGGAAACUUGGAGUAAUACCGUAUACGCCCGAGAGGGGAAAGAUUUAUCGCUAUAGGAUGGGCCCGCGUUGGAUUAGCUAGUUGGUGAGGUAACGGCUCACCAAGGCGACGAUCCAUAGCUGGUCUGAGAGGACGACCAGCCACACUGGGACUGAGACACGGCCCAGACUCCUACGGGAGGCAGCAGUGGGGAAUAUUGGACAAUGGGCGCAAGCCUGAUCCAGCCAUGCCGCGUGAGUGAUGAAGGCCUUAGGGUUGUAAAGCUCUUUUGGCGGGGACGAUAAUGACGGUACCCGCAGAAUAAGUCCCGGCUAACUUCGUG
rnacentral:rRNA from 1 species